rnacentral:rRNA from 1 species
AUUGAACGCUGGCGGCAUGCCUUACACAUGCAAGUCGAACGGCAGCGGGCCUUCGGGUGCCGGCGAGUGGCGAACGGGUGAGUAAUGCAUCGGAACGUGCCAUUGAGUGGGGGAGUAACGUAGCGAAAGUUAGCGCUAAUACCGCAUAUUCUGUGAGCAGGAAAGCAGGGGACCGGCAAGGCCUUGCGCUCUUUGAGCGGCCGAUGUCAGAUUAGCUAGUUGGUGAGGUAAAGGCUUACCAAGGCGACGAUCUGUAGCGGGUCGUGAGAGGAUGAUCCGCCACACUGGAACUGAGACACGGUCCAGACUCCUACGGGAGGCAGCAGUGGGGAAUUUUGGACAAUGGGGGCGAACCCUGAUCCAGCCAUGCCGCGUGAGUGAAGAAGGCCUCGGUU